GGUUAAGCGACUAAGCGUACACGGUGGAUGCCCUGGCAGUCAGAGGCGAUGAAGGACGUGCUAAUCUGCGAUAAGCGUCGGUGAGGUGAUAUGAACCGUUAUAACCGGCGAUUUCCGAAUGGGGAAACCCAGUGUGUUUCGACACACUAUCAUUAACUGAAUCCAUAGGUUAAUGAGGCGAACCGGGGGAACUGAAACAUCUAAGUACCCCGAGGAAAAGAAAUCAACCGAGAUUCCCCCAGUAGCGGCGAGCGAACGGGGAGGAGCCCAGAGCCUGAAUCAGUGUGUGUGUUAGUGGAAGCGUCUGGAAAGGCGUGCGAUACAGGGUGACAGCCCCGUACACAAAAAUGCACAUAUUGUGAGCUCGAUGAGUAGGGCGGGACACGUGGUAUCCUGUCUGAAUAUGGGGGGACCAUCCUCCAAGGCUAAAUACUCCUGACUGACCGAUAGUGAACCAGUACCGUGAGGGAAAGGCGAAAAGAACCCCGGCGAGGGGAGUGAAAAAGAACCUGAAACCGUGUACGUACAAGCAGUGGGAGCCUCUUAAUGGGGUGACUGCGUACCUUUUGUAUAAUGGGUCAGCGACUUAUAUUCUGUAGCAAGGUUAACCGAAUAGGGGAGCCGAAGGGAAACCGAGUCUUAACUGGGCGUUAAGUUGCAGGGUAUAGACCCGAAACCCGGUGAUCUAGCCAUGGGCAGGUUGAAGGUUGGGUAACACUAACUGGAGGACCGAACCGACUAAUGUUGAAAAAUUAGCGGAUGACUUGUGGCUGGGGGUGAAAGGCCAAUCAAACCGGGAGAUAGCUGGUUCUCCCCGAAAGCUAUUUAGGUAGCGCCUCGUGAAUUCAUCUCCGGGGGUAGAGCACUGUUUCGGCAAGGGGGUCAUCCCGACUUACCAACCCGAUGCAAACUGCGAAUACCGGAGAAUGUUAUCACGGGAGACACACGGCGGGUGCUAACGUCCGUCGUGAAGAGGGAAACAACCCAGACCGCCAGCUAAGGUCCCAAAGUCAUGGUUAAGUGGGAAACGAUGUGGGAAGGCCCAGACAGCCGUGAUGUUGGCUUAGAAGCAGCCAUCAUUUAAAGAAAGCGUAAUAGCUCACUGGUCGAGUCGGCCUGCGCGGAAGAUGUAACGGGGCUAAACCAUGCACCGAAGCUGCGGCAGCGACGCUUAUGCGUUGUUGGGUAGGGGAGCGUUCUGUAAGCCUGCGAAGGUGUGCUGUGAGGCAUGCUGGAGGUAUCAGAAGUGCGAAUGCUGACAUAAGUAACGAUAAAGCGGGUGAAAAGCCCGCUCGCCGGAAGACCAAGGGUUCCUGUCCAACGUUAAUCGGGGCAGGGUGAGUCGACCCCUAAGGCGAGGCCGAAAGGCGUAGUCGAUGGGAAACAGGUUAAUAUUCCUGUACUUGGUGUUACUGCGAAGGGGGGACGGAGAAGGCUAUGUUGGCCGGGCGACGGUUGUCCCGGUUUAAGCGUGUAGGCUGGUUUUCCAGGCAAAUCCGGAAAACCAAGGCUGAGGCGUGAUGACGAGGCACUACGGUGCUGAAGCGACAAAUGCCCUGCUUCCAGGAAAAGCCUCUAAGCAUCAGGUAACAUCAAAUCGUACCCCAAACCGACACAGGUGGUCAGGUAGAGAAUACCAAGGCGCUUGAGAGAACUCGGGUGAAGGAACUAGGCAAAAUGGUGCCGUAACUUCGGGAGAAGGCACGCUGAUAUGUAGGUGAAGCGACUUGCUCGUGGAGCUGAAAUCAGUCGAAGAUACCAGCUGGCUGCAACUGUUUAUUAAAAACACAGCACUGUGCAAACACGAAAGUGGACGUAUACGGUGUGACGCCUGCCCGGUGCCGGAAGGUUAAUUGAUGGGGUUAGCGGUAACGCGAAGCUCUUGAUCGAAGCCCCGGUAAACGGCGGCCGUAACUAUAACGGUCCUAAGGUAGCGAAAUUCCUUGUCGGGUAAGUUCCGACCUGCACGAAUGGCGUAAUGAUGGCCAGGCUGUCUCCACCCGAGACUCAGUGAAAUUGAACUCGCUGUGAAGAUGCAGUGUACCCGCGGCAAGACGGAAAGACCCCGUGAACCUUUACUAUAGCUUGACACUGAACAUUGAGCCUUGAUGUGUAGGAUAGGUGGGAGGCUUUGAAGUGUGGACGCCAGUCUGCAUGGAGCCGACCUUGAAAUACCACCCUUUAAUGUUUGAUGUUCUAACGUUGGCCCGUAAUCCGGGUUGCGGACAGUGUCUGGUGGGUAGUUUGACUGGGGCGGUCUCCUCCUAAAGAGUAACGGAGGAGCACGAAGGUUGGCUAAUCCUGGUCGGACAUCAGGAGGUUAGUGCAAUGGCAUAAGCCAGCUUGACUGCGAGCGUGACGGCGCGAGCAGGUGCGAAAGCAGGUCAUAGUGAUCCGGUGGUUCUGAAUGGAAGGGCCAUCGCUCAACGGAUAAAAGGUACUCCGGGGAUAACAGGCUGAUACCGCCCAAGAGUUCAUAUCGACGGCGGUGUUUGGCACCUCGAUGUCGGCUCAUCACAUCCUGGGGCUGAAGUAGGUCCCAAGGGUAUGGCUGUUCGCCAUUUAAAGUGGUACGCGAGCUGGGUUUAGAACGUCGUGAGACAGUUCGGUCCCUAUCUGCCGUGGGCGCUGGAGAACUGAGGGGGGCUGCUCCUAGUACGAGAGGACCGGAGUGGACGCAUCACUGGUGUUCGGGUUGUCAUGCCAAUGGCACUGCCCGGUAGCUAAAUGCGGAAGAGAUAAGUGCUGAAAGCAUCUAAGCACGAAACUUGCCCCGAGAUGAGUUCUCCCUGAGACUUUAAGUCUCCUGAAGGAACGUUGAAGACGACGACGUUGAUAGGCCGGGUGUGUAAGCGCAGCGAUGCGUUGAGCUAACCGGUACUAAUGAACCGUGAGGCUUAACCUU
rnacentral:rRNA from 1 species